AUGAUUCCAGGACCUGGAAUCAUACCAGCCGAUGGAAUUAACCGAUGCAAGUCCAAGAAGGAUUGGCCGGUGCUGCCGGCUGGCGUCAAGUUCGAUCCCACGGAUCAGGAGCUGAUCGAGCACCUUGAGGCCAAAGUGAGUGCUGACAGCGCGAGAUCUCACCCUCUCAUCGAUUUGUUCAUACCAACCAUCGACAGCGAGCAUGGCAUAUGCUACACCCAUCCUGAGAAACUUCCAGGUAUCACACUGAGUGGCCUAAGCAAGCAUUUCAUCCAGUGCAAUUCCAGGGGAUACAAAAGGGGCACGUGGACGCGUCGCAAGAUACAGUCCAAGUGCGGCAUGCACACGAUGUGGCACAAGACUGGCAAUACCUUGCCGGUGAUGGUCAACAGCCGGCAGACGGGCAGCAAAAAGGUUCUGGUGCUGCACACCAACAAGAACUUCAACCAGCAGAGGACCAACUGGGUGAUGCACCAGUACCACCUCGGGGACCUGGAGCAAGAGAAGGAGCAGGAGCUGGUCCUCUGCAAGAUUUUAUACCAGACGAACACUAGGGCCAUGAGUAAAAAGAUUAUAAGUUAG
rnacentral:rRNA from 1 species